rnacentral:rRNA from 1 species
UACGGAGGGGGCUAGCGUUGUUCGGAAUUAUUGGGCGUAAAGCGCGCGCAGGCGGUCCUUUAAGUCUGAUGUGAAAGCCCACGGCUCAACCGUGGAGGGUCAUUGGAAACUGGGGGACUUGAGUGCAGAAGAGGAAAGUGGAAUUCCACGUGUAGCGGUGAAAUGCGUAGAGAUGUGGAGGAACACCAGUGGCGAAGGCGACUUUCUGGUCUGUAACUGACGCUGAGGCGCGAAAGCGUGGGGAGCAAACAGG